UACGGGGGGGGCAAGCGUUGUUCGGAAUUACUGGGCGUAAAGGGCUCGUAGGCGGCCAACUAAGUCGGAUGUGAAAUCCCCAGGCUCAACCUGGGAACUGCGUCCGAUACUGGAUGGCUUGAAUCCGGGAGAGGGAUGCAGAAUUCCAGGUGUAGCGGUGAAAUGCGUAGAUAUCUGGAGGAAUACCGGUGGCGAAGGCGGCAUCCUGGACCGGCAUUGACGCUGAGACGCGAAAGCGUGGGGAGCGAACAGG
rnacentral:rRNA from 1 species